rnacentral:rRNA from 1 species
UGGGGAAUAUUGCACAAUGGGCGCAAGCCUGAUGCAGCCAUGCCGCGUGUGUGAAGAAGGCCUUCGGGUUGUAAAGCACUUUCAGCGGGGAGGAAGGCGAUAAGGUUAAUAACCUUGUCGAUUGACGUUACCCGCAGAAGAAGCACCGGCUAACUCCGUGCCAGCAGCCGCGGUAAUACGGAGGGUGCAAGCGUUAAUCGGAAUUACUGGGCGUAAAGCGCACGCAGGCGGUUUGUUAAGUCAGAUGUGAAAUCCCCGGGCUCAACCUGGGAACGGCAUCUGAUACUGGCAAGCUUGAGUCUCGUAGAGGGGGGUAGAAUUCCAGGUGUAGCGGUGAAAUGCGUAGAGAUCUGGAGGAAUACCGGUGGCGAAGGCGGCCCCCUGGACGAAGACUGACGCUCAGGUGCGAAAGCGUGGGGAGCAAACAGG